UACGUAGGGUGCGAGCGUUAAUCGGAAUUACUGGGCGUAAAGCGUGCGCAGGCGGGCUUUUAAGCCAGACGUGAAAUCCCCGGGCUUAACCUGGGAAUGGCGUUUGGGACUGGGAGUCUGGAGUGCGGCAGAGGAGACUGGAAUUCCUGGUGUAGCAGUGAAAUGCGCAGAUAUCAGGAGGAACACCGAUGGCGAAGGCAGGUCUCUGGGCCACUACUGACGCUGAGAAGCGAAAGCAUGGGGAGCGAACAGG
rnacentral:rRNA from 1 species